AAAAUCCCAAAAUACGGUGAAUAAUACAAUUUGUGGAAACAACAUGGCCCGACAUCAGGGUAUCACCAGUCAUGAGCAUAUGUACUACCACUACAAGUCUAAAAGGUUCUACUCAAAUUAUUACAGAAUACUAAUAAGUGAAAAGAAAUGAUAUAGGAGAGGGGAGAAGCACGGGGCUGCGAACGCGAGCAACUACCUCGUGAACUCUGGAAUCUGCUGGAAGCUCUCAACCCUCAUCAACAGGACCUGAUGCGCAUGAGUUUGCACACGGGGUGCAAGGAGUAAAGUGAGUACUCCAACUCAGUGAGUAAUAAUAAUAAAUGCAGACUGAGUAAAAAGAAAUCAUGUAAGGUACUUCAACAGGCUAUAAAGAAGCAGUAAAGCCAGUAAAAGUAAUGAAACAAUGAAAAUAUGCAAAGUCACUUUAGCUCAGGUUAAGCUUCUUAUAAUCCCUUUUUUAAACAGUUAAGCAAGUAAAAGACAGGCAGCUAGAAAAGUUAAACACAUAAAGAAAUUCCCCUCGGGCACAAUACCAACAGAAUCAUCCCCUCGACCAACACAUGGAAUAACAACUAGCCCCUCGGGAUAUAUCUCACAUCACAAUGGGUACCCGCGCUCACUGGGGGUGUGCAGACUCCUGGAGGGGACCCUUACGACCCAAGCACAACAUCAAGCCAUCUCGUGGCAUAAUCAUAUAGGCUCUCGGUCUCAUAUCAACAAGCCACCUCAUGGCGUACAAAUCUCAGGCCCUCGACCUCAUAAUCAUAAUCAGUGCAUUACUGUUGCGGCGUGCAGCCCGACCCAAAAGUAUCCUCGCAACACAGGCCCUCGACCUUACUUAGCCAGAGUCUUAUAAGCCACUCGGGCAAUAGUAAAACAUGAUGCUUGUCACACCUCCUUUUACCUACCGUCGGGAAGAGUAUCUAAGGGAGUUUUCUCCAAUUUAAGUGACGAUCGAGACAAGAUUGUUUUAUUUAAAAUUCAAAGUCGCCACUUGGGAUAAUUUAUGGUGUCCCAACUCACCGAUUUAAAUCCCGAAUCGAGGAAAGAUUGACUCUGUUUUACAGUCCGCGAAUACAGAAAUCUGGGUAAGGAAUUCUGUUAACCCGAGAGAAGGUGUUAGGCAUUCCCAUGUUUCAUGGUUUUAGCACAAUCGCUCAACUGUUAUUACUGGCCUAUUUAUUUGAUUUUAAAAUAUUUUAAAACCUAUGUGCAUUUUAUUCCUUUUAAAACUGCUUUUAAUAAUCCAAUUGUUAUAUAACUAAUUAUUGAGUACACGUUUGCGAAUCAUGUCACGGGAACCGUACCCACGAUCCUCAACAUUUUUAUUUUAAUAACAAGAUUAAAUUGGGGACGGGUCACAUAAAUGUACCCCCAAAUUUUUAUAAAUUAAGCAUCACAACUACGUCACUGGAACCGUACCCGUAGCCAUGACAAUUAUUCAAUUAACGCGCCUAAAGAAAACUACAAAAGUUCAAGGCAUCUUCUAUACUAAUUUUGUAUUUAUGUGAGGGCCAUAGACUAGGUGAUUGGAUGGAACACCUCAAUUUUAUUAAAGGAAAAGCAUUCAACUAAGGAUGUUCAUAUUUAAAACUAAUUCGGAAUUAAGUAUCACAGCCAUGUUACGGGAGACGUACCCGUAGUUGUAAUAAAUCAAUUACGUGCCUAAAGCAAACUAUGAGAUUCAUAAUUUAUUCAACUUUUAAACCCCAAACCAACUAAUAACUUGUUCAAAUCAUUGGAGAAACUGCACUAGAAGCAUAAGCACUGCAACCUGAUAAUCAAAUCAGAGGUUCUUCGUAUUUUCUUACUUGCUAAUUGCCUCUUGGAACUCAGCUAUUACCAACCAUUUUUCUUUUGACUGGUCCAUGACCCAAAUGAUGCAUUUUAUUUGAGCUAGAAAUCUUUUGACGUCUAAUUCUACUGAAACAUCCCCCUUUAGGAACAAAAAGACAAAAAUUGUAGAACUUAUGUUCCGAAAUGUAUAAUUCACAAACAGGUUCUAUCUAUAUGCAUAUGGAAGGUUGAACUUACAUUGAUAUAGAAUCUUUACGUGCUAUAUGAUACUCAAUAGUAUAAUUUGAACCAUCAGCUAGUAGUAAGUCGAAAACCUGCUUUAUUGAUACGCUUUCUUUAACGUACACAAUGAGAGAAGCCUUCGAUACAACGAACCAAAAAUCACGUUGAUGACAUGAACCUCGAACCGGCAAUUGAGCCUCGAAUGGACAUCGACGACUUCAAACCAACCUCGGCUUAAAACUGUUUCGCGUGAUUUUUCGAGAAGAGUAGCAGGCUGGUUUCUGGUGCGCUGUCGUAAAUGGGAAGAAGCAGAAGAAGCGACUGGGUUUAUCUUUGCCGAGUUUCGGCAGUAAAGAGAUGGCACCGGCUGCUUCUAUCUCCGGCGAGUUCCAGGUGGUGUGAGAGGUGUGUGUAGCUGGAAGUUCUAAGUCGCAGAGAAGAUGAAGAAAGGUUCUAUUUUGUCCGCCGCUGCUAGCUCUUAGGAAUAGGGUUUCGUUAUCUUUUUUUGUGUCUAUUGGGUGUUAGGUGUUACUCCUUAGAUCUAAUGUUUUAAUGGAGAAGAAGAUGGGGGAGGUCGUUUUUUGGAGUUGCUGCUAGAGAUCCUUAGGCAUUAGGU
rnacentral:lncRNA from 1 species